UGGUGGAGGGCGGGUAGACAGUGUUAACGACAGUGAGGGCUUGAAAUCGCUGUUUCCGGCACGGACGCCGGAAACCCGGCCACGAGCCAUGGACGGCGAUUUGGCCGGGUUCAGCGAUUUCAACUGAACGGAGUUUUACACUGUCUCCGCCCGUAACCU
rfam:Thermincola sp. JR, complete genome.